rnacentral:rRNA from 1 species
CAGUAGCCGCGGUAAUACGUAGGUGGCAAGCGUUGUCCGGAAUUAUUGGGCGUAAAGGGCUCGCAGGCGGUUUCUUAAGUCUGAUGUGAAAGCCCCCGGCUCAACCGGGGAGGGUCAUUGGAAACUGGGAAACUUGAGUGCAGAAGAGGAGAGUGGAAUUCCACGUGUAGCGGUGAAAUGCGUAGAGAUGUGGAGGAACACCAGUGGCGAAGGCGACUCUCUGGUCUGUAACUGACGCUGAGGAGCGAAGGCGUGGGGAGCGAACAGGAUUAGAUACCCCUGUAGUCCCUGUCUCUUAUAU